CUUCGUCGCCGAGGACAAGAACUACAUGAAAGUAGGGAAGUUGGUGCUGCUGCUGGAAGACGCAUGGCUAGCACCCGGAGCCCAGAUCUACUUCACCAUGCAAUGGGAAUUCAAUGGUGCUGCUGCUCACAGAAGGGAAGGAACAGGGUGUUUCACUUACAGGCUGGUCCCACUGGGACGACGUGUGCUGUUACUGUUAUCCCAUCAUCCGCAUUUCUCCAAUCAAACACAAAUAUUGAACAGUUCCAUCCCUUCAAACAAACAUCAACACAAAACCAUUCCAUCCCUCAAACUAGGGUUGGACUGAUCCCAUCCAUCUCGCUCUCCAACCAAAUGGACCUAAAGUAUCCGCCUAACUAUCUUAUUUUCUAAUUUCCUCACAUUGAGGUCCAUGGUUGAUCUGUAAUGCUUGACAAUCAAGGACUUAUGAUGGAACAGGGUGUUUCUAGUGUUUUCGGAA
rnacentral:misc_RNA from 1 species